UGGGGCUCCUUGCUGCUAAAUUCCAGCCAAUGGCGAUAGUCACACUGCACUUAGUACACUCACGCUAGCGCUCCAGCAUGGCCGCUGCAAGUCCUGGAACCUUUUCACCUCUCCAGAAUGGAGACUCCCUCCCUUUGAAGAACACAUCUCAUCAGCGAGGCCUGCCUGGGAGCUGCUCCCUUAUGAGGAAUGGAAUUCAGAGUCCGUGGUUCAACAAUCAAAUCACAUGAGUGACAGCCAUCAAAGGCACAGUCCCCCACAUCUGGGGCACAGUAUUUUACAGAGGUCCUUGCAAUUUUACCUCCUACAUCUGUGUCCUGGAGAGCUUGACCCAAGGGUGCUCCCUCCUUGAUGUGUGCAUGCUGUGGGCAGAUGAACCCGAGUGUAUAUCACAGAUUCUAGUGACACGAUCUCUUCUCACCCUCUGUCUGCUCAUUACUAUUACCAACCAUCACCAUCUUUGCCAACACCACCACCAUCACCAUCACUGUCAAAUCCACCAUCAUCACCAUCACUGCCAACACCACCAUCAUCACCAUCACUGUCAAAACCACCAUCAUCACCAUCACUGCCAACACCACCAUCAUCACCAUCACGAUUGCCAACCAUCAUCACUAUUAUCACCACCAACAUCGACAUCACCACUAUGUUCAUCAAUAAAGCACCAUCACCUCCCCAGAGAUUUGUUCCUUCC
rnacentral:lncRNA from 1 species